rnacentral:sRNA from 1 species
ACGCAGCAACAGCGGCCGCCUCCAUCAGCAA